CUGGCUGGGGGCUCGCAGGUGAGUUUUGGAGGCAGCUGGUAUCUGCACAGCCACAGGCCCCUCCUGCUGGGGCCCUGGUAGGUAUUUGGAGCCCAGCCAGAGCCACACACAGCUGGAGGCCUUGGAUGCUCCCUCUUGCGUCCUCGUGCCACCAUUGCCCCCAACAGUCCUGGCCUGCUCACCUGGCCCUCGCACCUGUGCUCUGGGCCUGUGUCCUUCAGCCUCUCUGUCCGCUCCUUUGAUGGUGUGUGCCUGUCUCUGGAUGUUGAUGUCAGCUUGUUUGUCUGCUCCCUGCCCUGUGCCUGGGUGUGUUGGAGUGUCUAACCGUGUCUUUCUGCCCGUCUGUCCUGUGCAGCUGGACUCUGUUGAGGAAGGAGCGGUAUGGAUUCUUUGUUUCUUCCGCCCACCUAGGCCCCAUCCCUACCCCCAAGUCAAAAGCAGCCACUCCUGUCCUGAGUUUUCUCUGCAGCUGCUUGGGACAACAGAGGCAGGGCAUGGCGUUUCCCUCUUGCCAUGUUGCCCAUCCCAGCCAGUCCCACCUCGGGUCUGUCAGUACACCAGGGUCUGCCUGGGGACACAGAGCUCUGGGCUGACUCUGGGCUGGCUCUGGUCCAACUACUGAGCCCCGAUCCUUUUUUUGCUGCAGAGGACGAUCUCUUUGGGGGCUGGUGACCGGCAGGUCAUCCAGACUCCACUGGCCGACUCGCUGCCCGUCAGCCGCUGCAGCGUGGCCCUGCUCUUCCGCCAGCUAGGCAUCACCAACGUGCUGUCUUUGUUCUGCGCUGCCCUCACGGAGCACAAGGUUCUCUUCCUGUCCCGGAGCUACCAGCGGCUCGCCGAUGCCUGUAGGGGCCUCCUGGCACUGCUGUUUCCUCUCAGAUACAGCUUCACCUAUGUGCCCAUCCUGCCGGCUCAGCUGCUGGAGGUCCUCAGCACACCCACACCCUU
rnacentral:sRNA from 1 species